CUGCUGCCUCCCGUAGGAGUUUGGACCGUGUCUCAGUUCCAAUGUGGGGGACCUUCCUCUCAGAACCCCCUACGCAUCGUCGGCUUGGUGGGCCGUUGCCCCACCAACUACCUAAUGCGCCGCAUGCCCAUCCGUGACCGGGGUCGCCCCCUUUGGCCGGCAGGGGAUGUCCCCUCCCGGCAUUAUGUUGUAUUAGGCGGGAUUUCUCCCGGUUAUCCAUCUGUCACGGCCAGGUUGCAUACGUGUUACUCACCCGUGCGCCGGUCGCCGGCGG
rnacentral:rRNA from 1 species